GGCCGUUAAGCUCAGUUGGCAGAGCGCGUCGUGCUAAUAACGCGAAUGUCGUGGGUUCCAUACCUCCAAUGGCCA
rnacentral:tRNA from 1 species